UUGGAGGGCAAGUCUGGUGCCAGCAGCCGCGGUAAUUCCAGCUCCAAUAGCGUAUAUUAAAGUUGUUGCAGUUAAAAAGCUCGUAGUUGAAUUUCGGGAUCAAUAUGCCGGUCAUGCCUUGGUAUGCACUGGUAUCUUUGAUUUCUCCCUUCUGACGAACUUUGAUGUCAUUAAUUUGGUGUCAUAGGGAAUCAGGACUGUUACUUUGAAAAAAUUAGAGUGUUUAAAGCAGGCUCACGCUUGAAUACAUUAGCAUGGAAUAAUGAAAUAGGACGUUUGAUUCUAUUUUGUUGGUUUCUAGGAUCGACGUAAUGAUUAAUAGGGAUAGUUGGGGGCAUUAGUAUUCAAUUGCCAGAGGUGAAAUUCUUGGAUUUAUUGAAGACUAACUACUGCGGAAGCAUUUGCCAAGGAUGUUUUCAUUAAUCAAGAACGAAAGUUAGGGGAUCGAAGACGAUCAGAUACCGUCGUAGUCUUAACCAUAAACUAUGCCGACUAGGGAUCGGAUGAUGUUAAUUUUUUAAUGACUCAUUCGGCGCCUUACGGGAAAC
rnacentral:rRNA from 1 species